AGCCCAGCAGUGUCAGGCACGUUAGAUUGCAAACCUAAAGGCGCAGGCUAACGCCUGCCUGGGCUU
rnacentral:tRNA from 1 species